rnacentral:precursor_RNA from 15 species
CUGACUGAACCACGUCUUUCUUAUACCAUGUCGUUAAAAUGUUUGUGAACUUAUGUAUUCACAAUCAUAUCACAGCCAUUUUGACGAGUUUGGGUAAAGAAAUCUCAACAUUGAACGGAU